CUACGGGCUGCUGCAGUGAGGAAUAUUGCACAAUGGGGGAAACCCUGAUGCAGCAACGCCGCGUGGAGGAUGACGCAUUUCGGUGUGUAAACUCCUUUUAUAUGUCAAGAAAAUGACGGUAGCAUAUGAAUAAGCACCGGCUAACUCCGUGCCAGCAGCCGCGGUAAUACGGAGGGUGCAAGCGUUACUCGGAAUCACUGGGCGUAAAGGACGCGUAGGCUGGUUGGUAAGUCAGGUGUGAAAUCCUACAGCUUAACUGUAGAACUGCACUUGAAACUACCAACCUAGAGUAUGGGAGGGGGAGAUGGAAUUAGUGGUGUAGGGGUAAAAUCCGUAGAUAUCAUUAGGAAUACCGAAAGCGAAGGCGAUCUCCUGGAACAUAACUGACGCUAAGGCGUGAAAGCGUGGGGAGCAAACAGGAUUAGAUACCCAGUAGUC
rnacentral:rRNA from 1 species